rfam:Ciona savignyi cont_30589, whole genome shotgun sequence.
GCUUAUCACCAUUCCAGAUUGAAUAUACCCGAUCUCGUCUGAUCUCGGAAGUCAAGCAAUCUCGGGCUUGGUUAGUACUUGGAUGGGUGACCGCU